CCGUAACAAUUUUUUUCAUGUUACUAAAAUAAUGACUUCUGCUUCUAGGUUGAAGAGCAGCUUGUGUGACUUGGAAGUUCCUUCAGUUAUCAUUCCAACUCCCCAAUAAACUAUACAGAGAGAAAGUAUACAAUUCAUGUCCUUCAUCUAGGCAACAUCUAUACAUUUUCCUUGCUAUGCCUCCCUUACUAUUAUUUAUGAUAUGUACAGGGGGGGAAGUCACACAGCUUAUGAUGUGAAACAACAAACCAUCUUUUUUAAAUAAUCUAUGUAUUCUAUUAUUUGCAUGCAGAGUACUCAAAUCCCUGAGGGAUAUUUUUUGCUUUUAAAGAUGUUUGCAUUUUGUCAUAUGGUAUCACAGG